rnacentral:rRNA from 1 species
ACUUAAAUUGAAGAGUUUGAUCAUGGCUCAGAUUGAACGCUGGCGGCAGGCCUAACACAUGCAAGUCGAGCGGUAGCACAGAGAGCUUGCUCUCGGGUGACGAGCGGCGGACGGGUGAGUAAUGUCUGGGAAACUGCCUGAUGGAGGGGGAUAACUACUGGAAACGGUAGCUAAUACCGCAUAACGUCGCAAGACCAAAGUGGGGGACCUUCGGGCCUCAUGCCAUCAGAUGUGCCCAGAUGGGAUUAGCUAGUAGGUGGGGUAAUGGCUCACCUAGGCGACGAUCCCUAGCUGGUCUGAGAGGAUGACCAGCCACACUGGAACUGAGACACGGUCCAGACUCCUACGGGAGGCAGCAGUGGGGAAUAUUGCACAAUGGGCGCAAGCCUGAUGCAGCCAUGCCGCGUGUGUGAAGAAGGCCUUCGGGUUGUAAAGCACUUUCAGCGGGGAGGAAGGCGAUAAGGUUAAUAACCUUGUCGAUUGACGUUACCCGCAGAAGAAGCACCGGCUAACUCCGUGCCAGCAGCCGCGGUAAUACGGAGGGUGCAAGCGUUAAUCGGAAUUACUGGGCGUAAAGCGCACGCAGGCGGUCUGUCAAGUCGGAUGUGAAAUCCCCGGGCUCAACCUGGGAACUGCAUUCGAAACUGGCAGGCUAGAGUCUUGUAGAGGGGGGUAGAAUUCCAGGUGUAGCGGUGAAAUGCGUAGAGAUCUGGAGGAAUACCGGUGGCGAAGGCGGCCCCCUGGACAAAGACUGACGCUCAGGUGCGAAAGCGUGGGGAGCAAACAGGAUUAGAUACCCUGGUAGUCCACGCCGUAAACGAUGUCGAUUUGGAGGUUGUGCCCUUGAGGCGUGGCUUCCGGAGCUAACGCGUUAAAUCGACCGCCUGGGGAGUACGGCCGCAAGGUUAAAACUCAAAUGAAUUGACGGGGGCCCGCACAAGCGGUGGAGCAUGUGGUUUAAUUCGAUGCAACGCGAAGAACCUUACCUGGUCUUGACAUCCACAGAACUUUCCAGAGAUGGAUUGGUGCCUUCGGGAACUGUGAGACAGGUGCUGCAUGGCUGUCGUCAGCUCGUGUUGUGAAAUGUUGGGUUAAGUCCCGCAACGAGCGCAACCCUUAUCCUUUGUUGCCAGCGGUUCGGCCGGGAACUCAAAGGAGACUGCCAGUGAUAAACUGGAGGAAGGUGGGGAUGACGUCAAGUCAUCAUGGCCCUUACGACCAGGGCUACACACGUGCUACAAUGGCAUAUACAAAGAGAAGCGACCUCGCGAGAGCAAGCGGACCUCAUAAAGUAUGUCGUAGUCCGGAUUGGAGUCUGCAACUCGACUCCAUGAAGUCGGAAUCGCUAGUAAUCGUAGAUCAGAAUGCUACGGUGAAUACGUUCCCGGGCCUUGUACACACCGCCCGUCACACCAUGGGAGUGGGUUGCAAAAGAAGUAGGUAGCUUAACCUUCGGGAGGGCGCUUACCACUUUGUGAUUCAUGACUGGGGUGAAGUCGUAACAAGGUAACCGUAGGGGAACCUGCGGUUGGAUCACCUCCUUACCUUAAAGAA